CUUGAACGGAAGAAUCAAGGAGGAAGUGACCCCAAGCUCAGAAAAUUAGAUUGGCUAAAAAGUACAGUUUGAAUUGGAACUAUAUAAGGGCAGAGUUAUGGUAGUUUUUAUAACUAUGAGAUCCAAAGUAACGAGGUUUCUCCUUGGAGACGCUUAUUUUGAGCUGUAAAUCAUAAGAACUACAAAUAAAUGAGGACAGUCUAUCUGAGAUACUGGAAGCAGAAGUCAAGGCUUGAACAAGAGAAUGUUGGAGGUGACAGCAGCAUGAUUCCUUCAACACAAGGUGGAGUGUAAUUCUUGCAAAGUUUCUGGAGUCCCAGGUAGGACCCUAGGUGAUGGCCAUGAGACCUUGCAGCCAAGAGCAAGAAUUUUCAGCUGGAAUCCCAGGGGUCUGGAAAGAGGAAAGAAUGAAUCCAAAAGAUGAAAAUACUCCCAGGGGUCAUCCCAUGUCCUAACGGAACUGCUGAAGAAAAUGAAGGAGGCAGCAUGUGGAACUGACCAACAGACUGUGCAGAAGGAGGCAAUGACAGAAGGCAGCAAUCCCACCCUGCCAAUCUCUGACAAAGAAACACAGGCAGCACAAACAACCGGCAUGCCAGAUCCCCUGGCUGCUGGACAUGGUGGUGUCCCAGGUUGCAGCUGUAGCCUCCCUGACUUCCUCAGGCCGAAUCAUCAUCUUUCCCAGGUGGAACUUGAGUCUCCCAAGACAAAUAUGCCUUUGUCCUGCAAAGAUUACUUGAAAACGUG
ensembl:lncRNA